UACGUAGGGGGCUAGCGUUGUCCGGAAUCAUUGGGCGUAAAGAGCGUGUAGGCGGCCCGGUAAGUCCGCUGUGAAAGUCGGGGGCUCAACCCUCGAAUGCCGGUGGAUACUGUCGGGCUAGAGUGCGGAAGAGGCGAGUGGAAUUCCUGGUGUAGCGGUGAAAUGCGUAGAUAUCGGAAGGAACAUCAGUGGCGAAAGCGACUUCCUGGACCAAUACUGACGCUCAUGUGCGAAAGCGUGGGGAGCAAACAGG
rnacentral:rRNA from 1 species